rnacentral:rRNA from 1 species
UACGAACCGUCCAAACGUUAUUCGGAAUUAUUGGGCUUAAAGGGUGCGUAGGCGGUGUAUUAAGUCGGGUGUGAAAUCCCUCAGCUCAACUGAGGAACUGCGCCCGAUACUGGUACACUUGAGGGAGACAGGGGUAAGCGGAACUGAUGGUGGAGCGGUGAAAUGCGUUGAUAUCAUCAGGAACACCGGUGGCGAAAGCGGCUUACUGGGUCUCUUCUGACGCUGAGGCACGAAAGCUAGGGUAGCGAACGGG